rnacentral:lncRNA from 1 species
CCUACUGUGGCUGCUUCCUCUGCUCCCCAGCCUGGGUCCUGAGGGCCUGGCUUAAGGGAACUGCUGCCAGAAGGCUGGGAGUGUAGGCAGUGUUCGGGUGCCCAGCUGUGCCCUGUCUGACCUCAUGGCCACCCACAAGCUGGCACCCCCCACAGGCCUCUUGGGGAAGCCUGUACUUUCCACCGCCGGAGGCGGGUACCGCGUGGAAGCCAGGCUCAGGC